UGGCGGACGGGUGAGUAACGCGUGGGUAACCUGCCUCAUACAGGGGGAUAACAGUUGGAAACGACUGCUAAUACCGCAUAAGCACACAGUACCGCAUGGUACGGUGUGAAAAACUCCGGUGGUAUGAGAUGGACCCGCGUCUGAUUAGCCAGUUGGCGGGGUAACGGCCCACCAAAGCGACGAUCAGUAGCCGACCUGAGAGGGUGACCGGCCACAUUGGGACUGAGACACGGCCCAAACUCCUACGGAAGGCAGCAG
rnacentral:rRNA from 1 species